rnacentral:pre_miRNA from 1 species
AUCCCCUGGGAAUCUUGUUAAAAUGCAGAUUCUGAUUAAGUAGGUCUGGGGUGGGGCCCGACAGUCUGCAUUUCUAACAAGCCCCCACGUGAUGCUGA